rnacentral:rRNA from 1 species
GCCUGCCCUGUGACUAUAUGUUUAACGGCCGCGGUAUUUUGACCGUGCGAAGGUAGCGCAAUCACUUGUCUUUUAAAUGGAGACCUGUAUGAAAGGCAUCACGAGGGCUUAGCUGUCUCCCCUUUAAAGUCAAUGAAAUUGAUCUCCCCGUGCAGAAGCGGGGAUAUGCUCGUAAGACGAGAAGACCCUAUGGAGCUUAAGAUACAAAGCGAGUCAUGUCAAGAACCCCCUUGAAGGAAAUGAACGAAAUGAACUCCGCUGGAAUGUCUUCGGUUGGGGCGACCGCGGGGAAAGACAAAACCCCCACAUGGACCAGGGCCACUAUAGCCCUAAAACCUAGACCCACAGGUCAAAUCAACAGUAAUUCUGACCACCAAAGAGCCGGCAAUGCCGAUCGACGGACCGAGUUACCCUAGGGAUAACAGCGCAAUCCCCUCCCAGAGCCCUUAUCGACGAGGGGGUUUACGACCUCGAUGUUGGAUCAGGACAUCCUAAUGGUGCAGCCGCUAUUAAGGGUUCGUUUGUUCAACGAUUAAAGUCCUACGUGAUCUGA